UGCAGCAUCUUCUUUAAGUGAGUCAUCAAAAUUUUGCUUACUAAUACUAUUUUCUUGCUUUUGUUUCAAGGAAACGCUCUUGGUUUCUCAACCACAAUGCUGUAAAACAACUGACUGUGGAUCAAGUAACUCUGCUGGUUGUCCAUUUCAAGCUCUUGGCGAGCACUUGACCGGAGUGAAAUUGUCAACAAAUAAUAAAGACAAACGAAUCUGCAUUGUUGCCUCCCAUCCAUCAAGUGGUUUAUCAUUCACCUUAACUUGGGUAAAUAACUACGUUGAUGAAGAAGUUGCUGCUGUACAAGGCUGAGUCGUUGGGAAUAUUUGAAAGAGUUGUGUCCAAAUGGAUGAUACAUAUAUAUACAUAUAUAUAUAUAUAUAUAUAUAUAUAUAUAUAUACGUUCGUAUAAAUUAUUUUAAAUUUAUAUUCCUUUUUUUACAAAGUA